AAAUCUUCUUCUUCUUCCUCGCGUUAUCCCGGCAUUUUGCCACGGCUCAUGGGAGCCUGGGGUCCGCUUGACAACUAAUCCCAUGAUUUGACGUAGGCACUAGUUUUUACGAAAGCGACUGCCAUCUGACCUUCCAACCCAGAGGGGUAAACUAAGCCUUAUUGGGAUUAGUCCGCUUUCCUCACGAUGUUUUCCUUCACCGAAAAGCGACUGGUAUAUUAAAUA